rnacentral:rRNA from 1 species
UACGUAGGAUGCAAGCGUUGUCCGGAAUUACUGGGCGUAAAGAGCGCGCAGGCGGCCCUUUAAGUUGGGCGUGAAAUCUCUCGGCUUAACCGGGAGCGGUCGUCCAAAACUGGAGAGCUAUCGAGGGUAGGAGAGGAAAGCGGAAUUCCCGGUGUAGUGGUGAAAUGCGUAGAUAUCGGGAGGAACACCUGUGGCGAAGGCGGCUUUCUGGCCUGCUCCUGACGCUGAGGCGCGAAGGCUAGGGU